rnacentral:rRNA from 1 species
GAAUAUUGGUCAAUGGACGCAAGUCUGAACCAGCCAUGCCGCGUGAAGGAUGACGGCCCUCUGGGUUGUAAACUUCUUUUAUGUGGGACGAAAAAAGGGAAUUCUUUCCCGUCUGACGGUACCAUCCGAAUAAGCACCGGCUAACUCCGUCACCGCAGCCGCGGUAAUACGGAGGAUGCAAGCGUUAUCCGGAUUCACUGGGUUUAAAGGGAGCGCAGGCGGAUUUGUAAGUCAGUGGUGAAAGGCUUAAGCUUAACUUGGGAACUGCCAUUGAUACUAUAAGUCUUGAAUGUUGUUGAGGUUUGCGGAAUGGGUCAUGUAGCGGUGAAAUGCAUAGAUAUGACCCGGAACACCUAUUGCGAAGGCAGCAGGCUAAACAAAUAUUGACGCUGAGGCUCGAAAGCGUGGGGAUCAAACAGG